GCCCCUCGCGGAACCCCGGCCUGUGCGCAGUUCCCGUGCCCUAGGAGUUGGCGGCGGGGCCCAGCCGAGAAUCUUCUUCCCUUCUGGUCUGACUAGGAAAGCCAGAGGGAGAUGGUGAAGGAGACACAGAGAGAGUAAAAGAACAGACCAUGCCCAGCCUCUCCACUGCAGGAGCUUGGAAUCAGUGAAGCAGAGUUGCCAGCCAUCUAUGGAUCCUAACUAAAUUGGUCCUUGUAAUACUCGGUAUUAUUUGCCAAGAUAUUGAAAAACCUCUAAACAGUGAGAAGCUGCUGUGCCCUGAGGACACCCAGGCAGCCUAAGGAGAGGCCCACAGGUGAGAAACUGCAUGUGUGAGCUGAGCUUGGAAGUGGAUCUUCUAUGUUUUGCCAACAGCCACGUGACUAGUUUUGGAAGCAGAUUCUCCAGCCCCAGCUGCACCUGUGCCAGAGGCACCCAUUAAGCCGCACCUAGUUAAAUUCCUGACCCACAAAGACUUUGAAAUCAUAAAUGUUUGUUGUUUUAAGCUGCUAAGUUUUGAAGUAAUCUGCCAUGUAGCAACAUGAAACUACUUGGACCAAAUAUGUGUUUUUCUAAGCACAGGAAUAUUCACACUUUAUUAAACUUGAGUAUUCCAACAAUA
rnacentral:lncRNA from 1 species